AUGCCAUCUCUGUGGAAUGAGUAGAGAAAAGAAAAUUUUCUUCUAGACAUAUGGGGAAACUGAAGACCAAGGAGGAAAAUCUCUUUACCUCUUGAAGUUCUGUGAAGAUCAGGGUCACACAAUGAUGGAAGAGGAAGACAAGUUGAUGCAGGGCGGCCGCAUGCCAAGAGUUCCACUAGAAACUGCGUCUGUAUUCUUUUUUUUUUUUUUUACUGCCACUCAGUGAGUUAGGAAGGCAUUUGUCUCAUUUGAUAGAUGGAGUAUCCAAGGCUGAGAUGGACAAGAAGGCUUAUCAAGGUCUGGUGGACUUCACAACCCCUCCCUACUGCAUGGAGCCUAUGCUGGGAUUCUGCUGCCUGGAUCCAAGAGUCAGUGCUUCUGCUACUGGACAUUCUGUGUACCAUGGAUCUUUCACUUCAAUGUCUAGAGAGUUUUACGUGGAAUAAAGAUUUCACUUGCUCUGUAAUUAACUAAUUAACUUUAUAAAUGUGUAUAAAACUUCUAUUUGAAGCUGAAUGUAUGCUGUUUUAUGCAGUGCUGGAGAUGGCCUGAUGAGCCAGGUAGACACCCCCUGUCCAAGCUGCUUCAUCCUAUCCUGCCAACUGAGCUGACUGAAGAAUUUAGGAAAUUAAAAAUAGAAAAUCUAGAAAAAUAAAAAACACACUCCUAAGACCCAUGAGAAUACUUUUUCUAACUUAUGUGAAAAUCAGAAAUAAUUUCUUUAGAAUUGCAAUAGUAUCCACAUAUUUUGUUGUCAGAAAUUUCUAUUAAUUGGGCAUGAGAGAUCCUAUAUUACUUUUCAUUGAACAGAUGAUAGAAUAACUUAAGGAGUAAAUUGAAUUAAAAAAGGCCAAUUUUGGCACAUUUCUAAGAAAGGAGUUUUCCUUUUUUCUGCAUAAUCUAGUUUUAAUUCCUAUUCAUAUAUGUUAUUAUAUAAACACGGUGUAUACGGCGUUUAGGACCAAUUUAAUUUUCACUGAUUAUUGUGUUUUAGAUAUUUUGCAUACACUCCUGUCAUCAAGACAAAUAUUUAUUUAUUUUGAUCCUGUCUUAUUUAAAAUAUCUCUUGUGACAGCAUCCAAGACUCAUUACAAGGUAAUGAAUUUAUAGGUGGUGUAGAAGGAGAGCAAUUGAGUCAAGUGUUCUGAGUUUAUAUCCCAGGUCCCCUGGCUAAUAAAUGUAUAACAUUGGAAAAGCUACUUAACACCCAAUACCUCAAAUUUCUUUUCUGUAAAAUAGGAAUACUGUACCUGCCUCAUAGAAUUUCUAUGAGCAUUCAAUAAGGAGUAUAUUGAAAGUCCUAGGUGACUACCUGGUACAAAGUAAGCGUUCAGUAAACAGUAUUGUUAAUAAGGAAAUAAUUCACAACAAUAAUUACACAUAAUGAUAGAGUAAUAAGAUGAAACAUUGUACAAAAUAUUGCACUUCAGAAAAUUUUAUACUGUUACUAAAAUAGCAGCAGAGUAUGUGGUCUUCAAAGUAUUCAAACAUUUUAUAUAUCGACAUAUCAUCAUUUAUUAAACCAUUGUAAUUUUUAAUAUUGUUUUCUGUUUUCAGUUAUUAUAUAUACUCUUGUAAUAAAUUGUUCCAAAGAACUGUCUUUAUACAUGUAUUUCUUGGGAAUAAACUUCCAAGUGGAA
rnacentral:lncRNA from 10 species